CGCUAGGGCCCUGGAACUCCGUCCUUGCGGCGCUCAGCCUUCUCAGUCUCCUUCCCCUCCGCCUCCUCCCGCCCAGGUCAAAUCAUAGACCUCCCCUUUACAAUGGAUGCCAUGGUUCUGCAUCCACGUGCCACCAUCCUCCUCCCUCUUCCCCGAUCAGCCUGCCGCUGCCUGGGGUCUAAGCAGCCCCCUACUCCAAACUCGACCCAACCUGGGAGUGGCAGGAGACGGGAGACGCGGCAGGGGGAGCGUAGUUAGGUUGGGAGAAGGCCAGGCGCCGGAGUCUCCUGCAACGUGAGUUAAAACAGGCUCCCUGGAGUUGGACUGCUGGGGCUCAAAUCCCAGAUCUCCCUGUGUGUAACUUUAGGCAGCUGACUCACUCGGAGCCUCCGUUUCCCCAUCUGGAGGGGGGAACCCUCCCGGCAGCGCCCACACAGCCGGGUGGUGCAGAGGGUUAAGCGGGCUGCGUUCUCGGGAACAGCAGUAAUGGUGGCCUUCCCGGCAUCGCCCUAAAGGGGACUUGGACAGGAUUCAGGAGCUUCUGGACAGCAGAACACAUGGAGGCUCACAGGAAGGUGAACAAGAACUCAUCCAUGUGCUGGGAGGGUGCAAGUUCCAGCUCCGUGGAAACAAUGGCUCCUUCACCAGGGAACUUCCCUAUGUAUCUCUUUGCCUAGCUGUUUUUUUCUAUCCUUUAAGAUAUCCUUUGUAACUAACCCAUAAAUGUAUCUCUGCCUAUGUGUCUCUUUGCCUAGCUGUUUAUAUGUAUCUCUUUGCCUAGCUGUUUAUUUGUAUCCUUUAAGAUAUCCUUUGUAACUAACCAAUAAAUGUGCUUUCCUGGGUUUUGA